GCAUCAGUGGUUUAGUGGUAAAAUCCAUCGUUGCCAUCGAUGGGCCCCGUGUUUGAUUCACGGCUGAUGCA
rnacentral:tRNA from 2 species